CUUUUGCCCACGUCAGACCCAGGGUUCACGCAGGUAAGAUGAGAGCCCCGUGGCGCUUGUAAGCCAUAUCAUCCUGGAGCAAUCAGGUGUUAAUGGUUGUGCGCUCACACCGUGUGGGGGGCAAGAACGAGUCUGAUGGCCACUCGCUGAUAUGUUUACGUCUUCCAACAACUGCCCACCUCCUUAAUCACAGCAGAGGAUGAGGGUCAGCCUCAUUCUGGAUUCUCCUCACAGCCUGGCUGUAGCUUUCAGUCACGUUCAGACCGUGAGCUCUGCUCUCCCUAGGCACUGAACCCUGGAGAACAGUUGGGGUAACAUCCUCAAAGCUUGGCAUUUCCAGUGAGGAUUAAAUACCUGGAAUCUGAAGGUAGCAGAAAAUGAAAAACUGUCUCGCCUGCAUCAAGGAGCAAGCUUGUCAUUAUUAGCUACAGAGGAAGAAAUAUGCAACUUGACAGAGGUGAAGAUUGUCUUCAACUUUUUUUUAUUUCGAUGGUCCUUCUUCUUUCUGUCAGGAUGCUGCACUGUACCAGCCUUGAAGUGUAUUAAUGUUACCAUUUUAAUUGGGAUUUUGUUAGAUGUGGUGUGCCAUUAGCACCGCAGGAGUUAGCUUCUCAUGAUGGAAGCUGUCAGAUUGCUCACAUUACUUGAAAGCAAUCCCCAACUGGUAGUUCUGUUUUUUGAACCAUUUAGCAAAGGAUACAAAGAUGUUGUGUUUUGUCCCAGUCACUUUGUUAACACCGGGAUCUUUUGUCUUCUCACAAAGUGAACAAAAAAAUAAUCCCUGUCAAAAUUAAAUGACUUUGCUGAACUGUUAUGAUAAAUGAUCAAAUUAAAUUUGAGGAUAGUUCUCAUCUA